rnacentral:rRNA from 1 species
AGGACGAACGCUUGCGGCGUGCCUAAGAAAUGCAAGUCGAGCGAGGUUUAGGCUUCGGCCGACGACCUAGCGGCGAACGGUCGCGUAACACGUAAGCAACCUGCCCUAAAGUUGGGGAUAGCCCGCCGAAAGGCGGAUUAAUACCGAAUGUGGAUAUGUAUUCGCAUGUAUAUAUAUCUGAAGCAGCGAUGCGCUUUAGGAUGGGCUUGCGGCCUAUCAGUUAGUUGGUGUGGGUAACGGCCUACCAAGACGACGACGGGUAGCUGGUCUGAGAGGAUGGUCAGCCGGAUUGGGACUGAGACACGGCCCAGACUCCUACGGGGGGCAGCAAUUAGGAAUCUUGCGCAAUGGGCGAAAGCCUGACGCAGCGACGCCGCGUGACUGAUGAAGUCUUUCGAGAUGUAAAGGUCUUUUGUUGGGGACGAAGGAAGUGACGGUACCCGACGAAUAAGCCCCGGCUAACUACGUG